rnacentral:rRNA from 1 species
UACGUAGGGUGCAAGCGUUGUCCGGAAUUAUUGGGCGUAAAGAGCUCGUAGGCGGUUCGUCGCGUCGGCUGUGAAAACCCGGAGCUCAACUCCGGGCCUGCAGUCGAUACGGGCGGACUAGAGUUCGGCAGGGGAGACUGGAAUUCCUGGUGUAGCGGUGAAAUGCGCAGAUAUCAGGAGGAACACCGGUGGCGAAGGCGGGUCUUUGGGCCGAUACUGACGCUGAGGAGCGAAAGCGUGGGGAGCGAACAGG